AGAGUUUGAUCCUGGCUCAGGACGAACGCUGGCGGCGUGCCUAACACAUGCAAGUCGAGCGAUGAAGUUCCUUCGGGAACGGAUUAGCGGCGGACGGGUGAGUAACACGUGGGUAACCUGCCUCAAAGAGGGGGAUAGCCUCCCGAAAGGGAGAUUAAUACCGCAUAACAUUAUUUUCUCGCAUGAGAAGAUAAUCAAAGGAGCAAUCCGCUUUGAGAUGGACCCGCGGCGCAUUAGCUAGUUGGUGAGGUAACGGCUCACCAAGGCGACGAUGCGUAGCCGACCUGAGAGGGUGAUCGGCCACAUUGGAACUGAGACACGGUCCAGACUCCUACGGGAGGCAGCAGUGGGGAAUAUUGCGCAAUGGGGGAAACCCUGACGCAGCAACGCCGCGUGAGUGAUGAAGGUCUUCGGAUUGUAAAGCUCUGUCUUUGGGGACGAUAAUGACGGUACCCAAGGAGGAAGCCACGGCUAACUACGUGCCAGCAGCCGCGGUAAUACGUAGGUGGCAAGCGUUGUCCGGAUUUACUGGGCGUAAAGAGUAUGUAGGCGGAUAUUUAAGUCAGAUGUGAAAUUCCCGGGCUUAACCUGGGCGCUGCAUUUGAAACUGGGUAUCUAGAGUGCGGGAGAGGAAAGUGGAAUUCCUAGUGUAGCGGUGAAAUGCGUAGAGAUUAGGAAGAACACCAGUGGCGAAGGCGACUUUCUGGGACCGUAACUGACGCUGAGAUACGAAAGCGUGGGGGAGCAAACAGGAUUAGAUACCCUGGUAGUCCACGCCGUAAACGAUGAAAUACUAGGUGUCGGGGGUACCACCCU
rnacentral:rRNA from 1 species